rnacentral:rRNA from 1 species
CCUACGGGAGGCAGCAGUGAGGAAUAUUGGUCAAUGGACGAGAGUCUGAACCAGCCAAGUAGCGUGAAGGAUGACUGCCCUAUGGGUUGUAAACUUCUUUUAUAUAGGAAUAAAAUGUUCCACGUGUGGGAUUUUGUAUGUACCAUAUGAAUAAGGAUCGGCUAACUCCGUGCCAGCAGCCGCGGUAAUACGGAGGAUCCGAGCGUUAUCCGGAUUUAUUGGGUUUAAAGGGAGCGUAGGUGGAUUGUUAAGUCAGUUGUGAAAGUUUGCGGCUCAACCGUAAAAUUGCAGUUGAAACUGGCAGUCUUGAGUACAGUAGAGGUGGGCGGAAUGCGUGGUGUAGCGGUGAAAUGCUUAGAUAUCACGAAGAACUCCGAUUGCGAAGGCAGUUCACUGGACUGCAACUGACACUGAGGCUCGAAAGUGUGGGUAUCAAACAGGAUUAGAUACCCCGGUAGUC